CCCGACGACAAUAGUGCAGUUGUCCCACCUGAUUCCAUACCGAACUCAGAAGUGAAAAGCUGUAACGUCGAUGGUA
rnacentral:rRNA from 1 species